rnacentral:sRNA from 1 species
GUUUUUUUCAUUUUUUUU